rnacentral:rRNA from 1 species
GACAGAGGCCCCGAGCGUUAGGCGGAAUCACUGGGCUUAAAGCGUGUGUAGGCGGGAGCGUAAGUACCUUGUGAAAUCCCACGGCUCAACCGUGGAACGGCUGGGUAUACUGCGCUUCUUGGGCCAACUAGGGGCAGCCGGAACAAGCGGUGGAGCGGUGAAAUGCGUAGAUAUCGGGAGGAACACCAGAGGCGAAAGCGGCGACCUGGACAGGUACUGACACUCAACUACGAAAGCGUGGGGAGCAAACAGG